UGUUUGGAUUAAAGGCCUGUGCUACCAAGCA
rnacentral:piRNA from 1 species